UGGCGAAGACGUCGCCCAGUUGGUUUCACGCCCAUGGAAUGCCAGGUAUUCCAGUUAUUUAUUUCGGCACAUUAACAACCCGGCAGGCAUGGGGACAUCCGACAUUCAGUCGAUACUUCAAAUUGAUUGCCAAAUAAAUUAAAAGUGUAAGCGGAACAAAAGCAACAACCACGAACGGCUGGAGAAAACGUCCCGUGCCAGGAGAAUGGUAGCCCAGACAUUUAGUUGAUGCAUCUCCUCUAGUUUUUCCCAUUCCCAUCUUAAUUAUCCAUGGGCUUCAAGUGGUUCACAGUGCCAGCGAUAAGGCUGGGGAUCCGGGUCCAAAAACAAAACCAGAGCCAGUUGUUGACUAAAUGUUUUUGGCGUCCGUUAGUGCAAGAUGUGGAAUAAGAAAAGGUUCAACACAAUCAUGACCACACUGAGAGAAAACUACAUCUUAACAGAUAUGAACAUAUCAAUGAACUGAAGGACGACAUUUCAUAUGUAAAUCUGAAAUGAAAGAUGCAAUUAAACUGGACACAUUUUCUCAGUCGAUUGCCAGGUAAUGCGUCUAAAAUGAACUUCAAACGGCGCCUCGAGAUAAAGAACAUUUUCCCCGUU
rnacentral:sRNA from 1 species